GCUCCGCCCAGUGUGGUUCAAUGGCUGCUUAUGGCUUCCGGGAGAGGCGUUUUCCCAGAACACCCAGGCAAUUCCGCACUCGAGCGUUCAUUGGUUUAAUCGUGUCUUAGAAACAGGCCCGACCGGUUAGGUGGAGUUCCUGAUUGGGCGAAGCUUUCCAGGCCCCGCCCCGGCUCGGGGCAGGUAUCUGCCCGCGGCUUGAGCCCCCUCGGCAGGAGCGGGUGGAGAGGUGUGUGCUGAGUGUGUCGAGUACCGCUCUGCGUCCGCACCCGAGUUGCAGUCGGGCUCAUUACGCCUAAACGGCGAGUGAAGCUUCGCGACGGUGCAGCCAUGGAAACCAGCAGCCGUGGCUAGCUGAGGCCGUCAGACUCAGCACAUGGGGCGCGGGGAACAGCGGCUGUACUGAAGUGCGGCACCCGGCCAGGCCCUGCUGGGCUCUACCUGCUGAGCAGAGUCAUCUGACCUGCUGCUGGACCCAAGUGAGCUGGGGCUCCAUUCUGGAAGGCACUCAAACUUCAGAAUUUCCUAAGUGAUGAAAGGCAUGAAGGUGUUAAUUAAGGAUGUUCUGUUGUGUUAAGAGGUGAUUUUGUGAAGAUCCCUAGGUUAGUGAGGAUAAUGUCUGGUUACCAGGGGAACCAGCUGUGUGAUUACUGGCUUGGAACUUUCUAUCUUCCAACCCUCACCCCCCACUCUUGACCUCAGGGGAGGGGAGAGGGCCUGAAGAUUGGGACCAAUCACCAAUGGCCAAUGAUUUAAUCAUUCAGGCCUAUGUAAUGAAGCCUCCAUAAAAACUAAAAAGUACAGGGCUCAGGAGCUUCCAGGUCUGUGAACACUUGGAGUUGGAAAGAGUGGUGUGCAUGGAUAGGCAUGGAGGCUCCAUGACUUUUCCCCAGACUUUGCCCUGUGCACCUUCCCCAUCUGGCUGUUUCUGAGUUGUGUACUUUUGUAAUAAACUUGUGAUCUAGUAAGUAAAAUGUUUCUCUGACUUCUAUGAACUGCUGUAGCAAAUUAUUGAAACCCAAGGUGGGCGUCAUGGGAACCUCAGGUUAGAAGCCCAGGUGACAACUUGGGCUUUUGAUUGGCAUCUGAAGUGGAGGGCAAUCUUGUGGAACUGAGCCCUUAACCAUUGGAGUCUGAUGCUAUGUCCAGGUAGAUAGAGUUGAGUUGAAUUGUAGGAUGCCCAAAUGGUGAUGGAGAAUUUUUUGUGUAGAGAGAUAACCCACACAUUGGAAUUGAUCACAAUCAGAGUAUUAGUA